GGCCCAGUGACAUCAUGAAUGAAAUUAUGGCUGUGUGCACACACCUACACACACCUACACACACACACACACACACACACAUUUACAGUAUUUAGGAAUAUAUAGCAAGAUAGUUCUUCUGGAUAAAACAACUAAAUCAAAGCCAUAAUCAGUAAUCAUCAUCAUACACUGAUAGAAAAGGGAGACAUUUUAAGUCGGUAUUCAUUUGAAAUAUGUAUUUACUUCUUUACAAACUUUUAUUAUCGCAUUCAUCAUCAUCAUUAUUUUCACUCUCCUUCAUUCAUCUCUGUUGACAAUAAUCAUCAUCAUUGUGGCCAUCAGUAAAGUGUACGCCAACCUCCCAAGGCUUUGCUUAGCAACAGAAACAUGACAACAGAACUGAAUUUACAUUCUAGAAACAGGUCUCCAUGGCUACAAAUUCUCAUUCUCAGUCUUGAGCUCACAAAACACAUUGAAAUUGGAUGUGGAAACCAUAGGAAUAUGGCAUGGUUGUACAGUUUAUACUUUCUUUAUUAAAAAAAAAAAUGGAAUCUUGUGAAAACACUGUACCAUAAUAUAAUGCUAUGAAAGUGCGCGCGCACACACCCGCACACGCACCCACACACAUCUGUGCACACACCAAACACACCCACACCUGAUAUUGAGGCUUCCUAUUAAAUCCUUUCACAGUCUUGAGGUUGAAUAUUCUUCUAUCAUCCGUCUGUGCUGUGAGAAUCAUCUCUUUAGACCACACACCGGAUAGCGGACGGUCUCUGAUCUGGUCUGAUCAUCUGUGGUCUGGACCUGGUCUGUCUCUGAUCUGGACCUGAUUUGUCGUUUGUCUGAACCUGCAAAUGUCUUGUGCUAUGUAGGACACUUUGUUUUCUACCAUGUGUCUGUGAUGGUAUCAGUGGGAGCUUUGCACGCACGCACGCACGCACACACACACACAAACAAACAGACACACACAUACACAGACACCUGAUCCAGUUGCGGUUCAGAUGCUAAUUUACACCUUUUUGUUGAGGUCUCUGUGUCUCAGACUACUGCUUCUAGUCCACCACACACACACACACACACACACACACCUCUGUAUUAGCUAGUGUGUGUCUCAAACUACUGCUUCUAGUCCAACACACACACACCUCUGUAUUAGCUGGCGAGAGCAAAGUGAAUACCAUAGUCACAUGUGUCUCAUGUAGUCUUUUAGCUAUGUGACUGUGUGGAAGCCAGAGCUCAGGCCAGACUAGUUGAGAUGAGAUCAAGUCUAGUCUGGACCCAGAGCUCAAUCUGGACUAGUUGAGAUGAGAUCAAGUCUAGUCUGGACCCAGAGCUCAAUCUGGACUAGUUGAGAUGAGAUCAAGUCUAGUCUGGACCGCUCCAAAAUAGUCAGUCCAGUACUUCAUGCAUAUAGUGCAUGUCACCAUG
ensembl:lncRNA